rnacentral:lncRNA from 10 species
UCUACAUUAUGUUCUGUCUCGUUUCUUUUUUUAUAGCUCAUCAUAACCUAUGCCUAUUUUUCCCUUUGAAUCUUUCAUAGAUUCCAGUCAUAGGCCAGAUUCAAGACUCAACCCCAAUUAUUGGGUAUAAGAGACACAAUAGGUAUUCAAUAAACAUCGGUUGAAUUGAAUUAAAUGGGAUUGAAAUUGGCCCCACUAAGACAUAGAUCUCUUAGGGGUUGUUUGGCUGCAAAAACCAGAAAUCUAGAUGACUAGCUAAAGCUAAACAAGAAAAUUUACUGUAAGGAUACAUGGAUUUCUUUAUGAGAAAAUGCAAAAGGAAGUGGAAACUUACCAGGAAUGAAAGAGAAUGCUGUUUAUAAUUGGAGAAAUGUGGACAUGAGAGGGGCACAGAGGAAGACUACCUGAAGACACACAGAGAGAAGGUGACCACGUGGUUGGAGUGGAGCAUCUACAAACCAACACACAUACCAAGGAUUGCUGGCAAGUAUCACCAGAAGCUAGAAGAGGCAAGAAAGGAUUCUCCCCAAAGCUGUCAGCAAAAACACAGCACUGAUGGUAUAAAGGAGUACAGACGAGGUCAAAAUUCUAAAAUUGGAAUCUUGCCAUUAACAAACAGAACUGACAUUCUGAUACUUCUAUCUGCUGUGGACGUGACACAGAGACUUACCAAAGCCAAGAUACAUUUAUUCAAGGAGGAGCAACUUGCCUUUAUACUUAUACCUUUGUUAAUAACUUGUUUAAAGCAAUCCUUUGUUUUCUUUGCAUAUUUGAAUUGAUUUGCUAAAAGUUAUCUACUGUUAAAUAAGCAAAACUCAAAAUUUUCAAGCAUAUGGGACUUGUUCAGAAUCAGUUUUUAGUUUCUUUUUCAGGAUUUUGUACAAGUUGCAAGAGAAGAGACACAAAAUUAUCUUAUUAAUUCUAUUGCAAUAUGGAGAUACAUUUUAAACAAAUGGAAAUAAUCAAUAUUAGUAUUAUCUGUAUAUUUGUGUGUGUGUGUGUUGAUCUGACUAUAUUUUUCUUCAAAGGGAAAUCACAAAGGCCAAGUGUGUUUAUCAGGUAACUCACCUUAAGAAAACUUGUACUAUGUGAAAAGUCAAUUUCUUUAAAAACUGUCACCAACUCAACCCUGGUUUGUAAGUAGAAAAAACUAUCAAUUAUUUUUUAACAAUAGUAAUACUCCCAAGGUAUAUACUUCUGCCACAAAAAAUUAAGAAUAGUUUACUUAGCACGUUUUGUCAUUGUGGAAAUCAUUGAGAAAAAUCACAGUGGAAAGUUAUUUGAAAAGGCAUAACUGUCAUUAGAAAGAAAUUAAGAAUAAAGAAGGCAGGCCUGGCGUGGUGGCUCAUGCCUGUAAUCCCAGCACUUUGGGAGGCUGAGGUGGGUGGAUCUCCUGAGGUCGGGAGUUCAAGACCAGCCUGACUAACAUGGAGAAACCCCAUCUCUACUAAAAAUACAAAAUUAGCCGGGGUGGUGGCACAUGCCUGUAAUCCCAGCUACUCGGGAGGCUGAGGCAGGAGAAUUGCUUGAACCCAGGAGAUGGAGGUUGCGGUGAGCUGAGAUGGUGCCAUUGCACUCCAGCCUGGGCAAAAAGAGUGAAACUCCACCUAAAAAAAAAAUAAAAAUAAUAAAAAAAUAAAGCAGUAAAAACAAAAUGUUUGCAUGUGUCAUUAUCUUUGUAUUGGUCGUCUAUUUUGUAAACUUUCAUCAUUACUUUAAGCAUUUCAGGCCACUUCUUCAGUCAUUAUUGUUGAUUAUCAUUUAGUCCUCCAAUUCCAUCAGAGUGUGCUAAGGUAGUAAAAUGAAAUUAGGCACAAUGCAUGGCAGAAGGUAUAGCAAUUUGAAAUGUCUUCCAAAAUCAAUUAGAUAUUACUUUGGGUUAGCAGUGGAGGUGGGAACAUAGUUACAGGUAAUUGAGAAUUGGCUGUGAAUAUGGGCUCAUACAUUGUGUUUUUGAACAUGUUGAUAUAAUUCUGUGAAAUGAGAGAAAUGGCCUCAAAUCACCUGGCUGCUUCUGCUUUAUUUUAUGGUUAGAUAUUCAACUGCCAUCACAGACUACAAUAGAGGAAAGCUGCUAUUAUUUAUCAAAGACUAGACCUGCUAGCUGAAGUGCAGUUCACCAUUCACUUGGGUGGUGGUAUGGCUCACCUCCAAAACACUGCUCAUGAGUUGACCUUAUUAUUUUUAUCUGCAUGUCUUGACCUAUAGCGGGCUUAAAAUGUCAUUAUCAACCUAAUGGAAAUACAGAUUUUUCAUUUUUUUCCCUUUCUCUGCCUUCUCUUUUUUCUUUUCUUUUCUUUUUU